CAGAGUCAAUGGAACUGCUUCACGUACUGGUUUGUGAUGCUGGUUGAUCUCGAAUCUGAAUCAGCCUUCUUCUCACACGAACGUAGUGUCCCGUAAUGUAAUAGCACGGACGAGUCGGACAUCGUGAAAGUUCCUGCACGGACGGUCAGUGAGAGCGCAGCGUGAAAGAAUACGUCGUGCGUGGUGUGGUCACUGAGUGUGUGUUGCUAUGGUAGUUGGUAUGCCUCACACGGCCGUGCUUAGAUGCAGCAGAAAUGACAGUUGGCCUUCAGCUGCAGGAGAGACUACACACAAGUGCGGGAGUGGAUCGUGGCUGAAGGGAAAGUGGCGGGAGGGGCGACUGAGGGAAUGGUAGAGGCGGGGGUGCGUGAAGGGGGUGACCAGGGGAGUGUCGCAAGCAGGGCACGAUGGCCUUGCCCCCUGCUGUGCCCUUAAUGUGAACCGCCUGCCACCAGCAUUACCCCUGGCAUCACCACCACCACCACCACUACCACUACCACCACUACCACCACCACCACCACCACUUGAGAGAGAGAAAGGUGAAGGUGAAGGAUCGUGCGCCAGGCAGAGAGGCAGAGACACGGACAGGAAACACGUCGUACACAUCAGCAUCUUCCCUCAAGUGGCAGGCAGAUCUCCCGCGUCGCCCUCUGAACAUAAGGUAUCAGUGUGCCGUGUUUACUUGGGAAUCAUUGGCGAGCAGCGGAUCACACGGGUGGGAUACGCGGGCCUUGCUCCUCCGCGCCUCCUCAUAGCUUCGUGUCCCGGGCGUGGUGUGAGGGAUCCCGCCAAGACGCGAGGGACAUACACUGAUGCGAUGUGUUGAUUUUGGUUCUUGUGUUGUGUGUGUGUGUGUGUG